rnacentral:rRNA from 1 species
GACGAACCGUGCAAACGUUAUUCGGAAUCACUGGGCAUAAAGGGCGCGUAGGCGGCUCCAAAAGUCAGGGGUGAAAUCCGGCAGCUUAACUGUCGCAGUGCCUUUGAUACUGUGGAGCUAGAGGGAGGUAGGGGUCUGUGGAACUUCCGGUGGAGCGGUGAAAUGCGUUGAUAUCGGAAGGAACGCCGGUGGCGAAAGCGACGGACUGGAUCUCAUCUGACGCUGAGGCGCGAAAGCCAGGGGAGCAAACGGG